UGGGCAGUGGCGGCAACGACAAAGAAAA
rnacentral:piRNA from 1 species